rnacentral:rRNA from 1 species
UACGAAGGGGCUAGCGUUACUCGGAUUGACUGGGCGUAAAGGGCGCGUAGGCGGCUUGUACAGUCAGACGUGAAAUUCCUGGGCUCAACCUGGGGCUGCGUUUGAUACGUGCGGGCUUGAGUUCGGAAGAGGGUCGUGGAAUUCCCAGUGUAGAGGUGAAAUUCGUAGAUAUUGGGAAGAACACCGGUGGCGAAGGCGGCUCACUGGCUCGUAUCUGACGCUCAGGCGCGAUAGCGUGGGGAUCAAACAGGA